AUUGAACGCUGGCGGCAGGCCUAACACAUGCACGUCGGGCGAGCGGCGGACGGGUGAGUAAUGUAUGGGGAUCUGCCUGAUGGAGGGGGAUAACUACUGGAAACGGUAGCUAAUACCGCAUACCAUCAGAUGAACCCAUAUGGGAUUAGCUUGUGGGUGGGGUAACGGCUCACCUAGGCGACGAUCCCUAGCUGGUCUGAGAGGGUGACCUGCCACACUGGGACUGAGACACGGCCCAGACUCCUACGGGAGGCAGCAGUGGGGAAUCUGGGGCAAUGGGCGAAAGUCUGACCGAGCAACGCCGCGUGAGUGAAGAAGGUUUUCGGAUCGUAAAGUGCUUUUGGUAGGGAAGCGUUAUCCAACCAGAAAGCAACGGCUAACUACGUGCCAGCCGCCGCGGUAAUAC
rnacentral:rRNA from 1 species